rnacentral:lncRNA from 1 species
AUUAUGAGUAUAGAUUCUUUUCUACUCACAGGUUUUCGAAUUAAUUUUAAGAUUAAUUUCCGAUUUAAAUUCAAAAUUUUGAAAUUUUAUUUUUGGGUAUAAAAGUGAAAAAUAAUGUUUAGGGACUAAAAUUGAUAUGCAAAAGAAAGCAAAAAAGGCGAUGGCAUGAUAAUAUCGUUAAUUCUAAAACUUUUUUUAACAGUACUAUUUUAUUGCGAUGAAAUCAAGAGAUUUGAAAAUUUGAUUGCAAAAAAAAGAUUAAGGACCAAAGUAAAAAAUAGUGAAAAGGUUAGGACCAAUGUGUGAUUAAUUU